AUUGAACGCUGGCGGCAGGCCUAACACAUGCAAGUCGAGCGGAUGAAGGGAGCUUGCUCCUGGAUUCAGCGGCGGACGGGUGAGUAAUGCCUAGGAAUCUGCCUGGUAGUGGGGGAUAACGUCCGGAAACGGGCGCUAAUACCGCAUACGUCCUGAGGGAGAAAGUGGGGGAUCUUCGGACCUCACGCUAUCAGAUGAGCCUAGGUCGGAUUAGCUAGUUGGUGGGGUAAAGGCCUACCAAGGCGACGAUCCGUAACUGGUCUGAGAGGAUGAUCAGUCACACUGGAACUGGGACACGGUCCAGACUCCUACGGGAGGCAGCAGUGGGGAAUAUUGGACAAUGGGCGAAAGCCUGAUCCAGCCAUGCCGCGUGUGUGAAGAAGGUCUUCGGAUUGUAAAGCACUUUAAGUGGGGAGGAAGGGCAGUAAGUUAAUACCUUGCUGUUUUGACGUUACCAACAGAAUAAGCACCGGCUAACUUCGUG
rnacentral:rRNA from 1 species